rnacentral:rRNA from 1 species
AAUGGGGGAAACCCUGAAGCAGCAACGCCGCGUGAAGGAUGAAGGUUUUCGGAUUGUAAACUUCUUUGAUUGGGGACGAAUAAUGACGGUACCCAAAAAACAAGCCACGGCUAACUACGUGCCAGCAGCCGCGGUAAUACGUAGGUGGCGAGCGUUGUCCGGAAUUACUGGGUGUAAAGGGCGUGUAGGCGGGACUGUAAGUCAGAUGUGAAAUACCGGGGCUUAACUCCGGGGCUGCAUCUGAAACUAUGGUUCUUGAGUGCUGGAGAGGAAAGCGGAAUUCCUAGUGUAGCGGUGAAAUGCGUAGAUAUUAGGAGGAACACCAGUGGCGAAGGCGGCUUUCUGGACAGUAACUGACGCUGAGGCGCGAAAGCGUGGGGAGCAAA